GGGAUUGCCUUAUAGCGCGCGAGUGAAGCGCGCAAAAGCUCAUAUUUGAAAUCUCAGCACUUUCAGUGUUCGAGUUGUAAUUUGAAGAAGGUAACUUUGGAAUUGGCUCUUGUCUAUGUUCCUUGGAACAGGACGUCACAGAGGGUGAGAAUCCCGUGCGAUGAGAUGUCCAAUUCUAUGUAAAGUGCUUUCGAAGAGUCGAGUUGUUUGGGAAUGCAGCUCUAAGUGGGUGGUAAAUUCCAUCUAAAGCUAAAUAUUGGCGAGAGACCGAUAGCGAACAAGUACAGUGAUGGAAAGAUGAAAAGAACUUUGAAAAGAGAGUGAAAAAGUACGUGAAAUUGUUGAAAGGGAAGGGCUUGAGAUCAGACUUGGUAUUUUGUGUUCCUUAUUCUUUUUGGAUUUGGUUCCUCACAGCUUACCGGGCCAGCAUCGGUUUGGAUGGUAGGAUAAUGACAUUGGAAUGUACCUUUGCUUCGGUGAAGUGUUAUAGACUUUGUUGAUACUGCCUAUCUAGACCGAGGACUGCGUCUUUGACUAGGAUGCUGGCGUUAUGAUCUUAAGCCGCCCGUCUUGAAACACGGACCAUGG
rnacentral:rRNA from 1 species